GUAAUUAAGGUUACCUUAUGACUUACAAGGUCUUCCCUUGUUGCUCAGCUGGUAAAGAAUCCGCUUACAAUACGGGAGAACUGGGUUCAAUCCCUGUGUUGGGAAGAUCCUCUGGAGAAGGGGAAGGCUACCCACUUCAGUAAUCUGGCCUGGAGAAUUCCAUGGGCUGUGUAAGUCCAUGGGGUCACAGAGUCAGACAUGAUUGAGCAACUGAAUUGAACUGAUGACUUAUACAAUGAAGUCAUAAGGAUGGGGUAAUGAUCCAGAGGAUCAGUGUCUUUGUUAGAGGAAACACCAAAGAGUCCAUUUUCACUCUUUCUCUCUUCCAUGGAGGAUGCACUGAGAAGGUGGCCAUCGACAAGGCAGGAAGAGAGCUCUUACCGGAAACCUAAAAGGUUAUUACCCUCAUCUUGAGCUUUCCAGCCUCCACUGUGUGACAUACAUUUUUGUUGUUCAAGGAAUCCAGUCUGUGGCAUUCUGCUAUAGCAGCCCAAGCUGCCUAAAACAGUAUCCAAUGAUGUUUCAUGGAGUGAAGUUUUAGGUGAGCCUUCAGUGUGUAGAUAGCAUCCAAAAGAACACUCCUGGUAAUCAAGUGUUCUCAAGGCCCGUGAAUUGUAACGACUCCUGAAAGUGGGCUGGGGUUCCAGGAAAGACUCUUGUUUCUACAGAACAUAGGGCUGCUACUCGGGAUCUGAGGUGGACGAUUGGCAAUGGACUGGGCAUGUGGCCAGUGAGGACAGAGCCUGAUCUCCCACACCUGGACUCAUGCCAGAUUUCAGAUGUUAUUUCUUUCUCUGCUCAUGUCUUCUUGCUGAAUCAGACAGAAGUGAGCCUAUGGAUGAAGGGCACUAAGGCCCAGAGCUGACUAGGGCCGAGGAAAGUGAAGACAGCUGUACAGUGGACACACUGCCUUGGUACCUUAGAGAGCCCUCGAGCAGACCAGCCCCAGCACUUGAACAGAGCAUUCCUCUUCAGGGGACGAAAAUCAUAGGGCACCCGGAGCUCACACAUAAAUGGCGGCAGCAGCAGCAUUUAAAAUAUCUGUUUCAUUGCCUCGGUGAUUCUUAAUUAACACAAAGCAUCAGGGUUUCAUUGACACCAAUAAAAUGAGGGUCCAGAUCAAGAAGCAUAAACGAGGAAAUUGGAAAUCCCACAUUGUUCUAUUUCCGAGUGAAAAGCUUUGACUCACCACUAGAGGGCACUAUUCACCCUCUCAUCUUUCUGAAGGCGUCAGCCCAGCAGGGCUCGCUUUCAAAUGAAAAUAACUGCAUUUACUAAGGUUUGUGA
ensembl:lncRNA